GACGAACGCUGGCGGCAGGCCUAACACAUGCAAGUCGAACGAGUGGCGGACGGGUGAGUAAUGUCUGGGAAACUGCCUGAUGUAGGGGGAUAACUACUGGACACGGUAGCUAAUACCGCAUACCAUCAGAUGUGCCCAGAUGGGAUUAGCUUGUUGGUGGGGUAACGGCUCACCAAGGCGACGAUCCCUAGCUGGUCUGAGAGGAUGACCAGCAAAACUGGAACUGAGACACGGUACAGACUCCUACGGGAGGCAGCAGUGGGGAAUAUUGCACAAUGGGCGCAAGCCUGAUGCAGCCAUGCCGCGUGUAUGAAGAAGGCCUUCGGGUUGUAAAGUAAUUUCAGCGGGGAGGCGUUACCCGCAGAAGAAGCACCGGCUAACGCCGUGCCAGCAGCCGCGGUAAUUC
rnacentral:rRNA from 1 species